rnacentral:tRNA from 1 species
AGAGAGGUAUGUUUACAACAAGAACUGCUAAUUCUUCCCCCUUAGGUUAGAUUCCUAAGCUCACUU